rnacentral:rRNA from 1 species
GAUGAACGCUAGCGACAGGCCUAACACAUGCAAGUCGAGGGGCAGCACGGUGUAGCAAUACACGGGUGGCGACCGGCGCACGGGUGAGUAACGCGUAUGCAACCUGCCUACUACAAGGGGAUAGCCCGUUGAAAGACGGACUAAUACCCUAUAACACAGGGAAUCCGCAUGGAUAUAUUUGUUAAAGAUUUAUCGGUAGUAGAUGGGCAUGCGUUCCAUUAGCUUGUUGGUGAGGUAACGGCUCACCAAGGCAACGAUGGAUAGGGGAACUGAGAGGUUGAUCCCCCACACUGGAACUGAGACACGGUCCAGACUCCUACGGGAGGCAGCAGUGAGGAAUAUUGGUCAAUGGACGAGAGUCUGAACCAGCCAAGUCGCGUGAAGGAAGACGGCCCUACGGGUUGUAAACUUCUUUUGUAAGGGAAUAAAUAGUCUUACGCGCUAAGACGUUGCAGGUACCUUACGAAUAAGGAUCGGCUAACUCCGUGCCAGCAGCCGCGGUAAU